CCUACGGGAGGCAGCAGUAGGGAAUAUUGCUCAAUGGGGGAAACCCUGAAGCAGCAACGCCGCGUGGAGGAUGAAGGUUUUCGGAUUGUAAACUCCUUUUGUUAGAGAAGAUAAUGACGGUAUCUAACGAAUAAGCACCGGCUAACUCGGUGCCAGCAGCCGCGGUAAUACGGAGGGUGCAAGCGUUACUCGGAAUAACUGGGCGUAAAGCGCGCGUAGGCGGGAUAGCAAGUCAGAUGUGAAAUCCUAUGGCUUAACCAUAGAACUGCAUUUGAAACUGGUAUUCUAGAGUAUGGGAGAGGUAGGUGGAAUUCUUGGUGUAGGGGUAAAAUCCGUAGAGAUCAAGAGGAAUACUCAGUGCGAAGGCGACCUGCUAGAACAUAACUGACGCUGAUGCGCGAAAGCGUGGGGAGCAAACAGGAUUAGAUACCCGAGUAGUC
rnacentral:rRNA from 1 species